rnacentral:rRNA from 1 species
AUUGAACGCUGGCGGCAUGCUUUACACAUGCAAGUCGAACGGUAACAGGCCGCAAGGUGCUGACGAGUGGCGAACGGGUGAGUAAUGCAUCGGAACGUGCCCAGUCGUGGGGGAUAACGCAGCGAAAGCUGAGCUAAUACCGCCUACGAUCUAUGGAUGAAAGCGGGGGACCGUAAGGCCUCGCGCGCUUGAAGCGGCCGAUGUCAGAUUAGGUAGUGGGUGGGGUAAAGGCUCACCAAGCCAACGAUCUGUAGCUGGUCUGAGAGGACGACCAGCCACACUGGGACUGAGACACGGCCCAGACUCCUACGGGAGGCAGCAGUGGGGAAUUUUGGACAAUGGGCGCAAGCCUGAUCCAGCAAUGCCGCGUGCAGGAAGAAGGCCUUCGGGUUGUAAACUGCUUUUGUACGGAACGAAACGGUCCUGGUUAAUACCUGGGGCUAAUGACGGUACCGUAAGAAUAAGCACCGGCUAACUACGUGCCAGCCGCCGCCGUAAUAC